rnacentral:rRNA from 1 species
GACGAACGCUGGCGGCGUGCUUAACACAUGCAAGUCGAACGGAAAGGCCCUGCUUUUGUGGGGUGCUCGAGUGGCGAACGGGUGAGUAACACGUGAGUAACCUGCCCUUGACUUUGGGAUAACUUCAGGAAACUGGGGCUAAUACCGGAUAGGAGCUCCUGCUGCAUGGUGGGGGUUGGAAAGUUUCGGCGGUUGGGGAUGGACUCGCGGCUUAUCAGCUUGUUGGUGGGGUAGUGGCUUACCAAGGCUUUGACGGGUAGCCGGCCUGAGAGGGUGACCGGCCACAUUGGGACUGAGAUACGGCCCAGACUCCUACGGGAGGCAGCAGUGGGGAAUAUUGCACAAUGGGCGGAAGCCUGAUGCAGCAACGCCGCGUGCGGGAUGACGGCCUUCGGGUUGUAAACCGCUUUCGCCGGUGACGAAGCGUGAGUGACGGUAAUGGGUAAAGAAGCACCGGCUAACUACGUGCCAGCAGCCGCGGUGAUACGUAGGGUGCGAGCGUUGUCCGGAUUUAUUGGGCGUAAAGGGCUCGUAGGUGGUUGAUCGCGUCGGAAGUGUAAUCUUGGGGCUUAACCCUGAGCGUGCUUUCGAUACGGGUUGACUUGAGGAAGGUAGGGGAGAAUGGAAUUCCUGGUGGAGCGGUGGAAUGCGCAGAUAUCAGGAGGAACACCAGUGGCGAAGGCGGUUCUCUGGGCCUUUCCUGACGCUGAGGAGCGAAAGCGUGGGGAGCGAACAGGCUUAGAUACCCUGGUAGUCCACGCUGUAAACGGUGGGUACUAGGUGUGGGGUCCAUUCCACGGGCUCCGUGCCGUAGCUAACGCUUUAAGUACCCCGCCUGGGGAGUACGGCCGCAAGGCUAAAACUCAAAGGAAUUGACGGGGCCCCGCACAAGCGGCGGAGCAUGCGGAUUAAUUCGAUGCAACGCGUAGAACCUUACCUGGGUUUGACAUGGAUCGGGAGCGCUCAGAGAUGGGUGUGCCUCUUUUGGGGUCGGUUCACAGGUGGUGCAUGGCUGUCGUCAGCUCGUGUCGUGAGAUGUUGGGUUAAGUCCCGCAACGAGCGCAACCCUUGUUCACUGUUGCCAGCACGUUAUGGUGGGGACUCAGUGGAGACCGCCGGGGUCAACUCGGAGGAAGGUGGGGAUGACGUCAAGUCAUCAUGCCCCUUAUGUCCAGGGCUUCACGCAUGCUACAAUGGCUGGUACAGAGAGUGGCGAGCCUGUGAGGGUGAGCGAAUCUCGGAAAGCCGGUCUCAGUUCGGAUUGGGGUCUGCAACUCGACCUCAUGAAGUCGGAGUCGCUAGUAAUCGCAGAUCAGCAACGCUGCGGUGAAUACGUUCCCGGG